rnacentral:lncRNA from 1 species
GGCACCGGCGCUUUCUCGUCUCUCCGAGGUUUGAUCUCUUCUUCCCUUCGAUUUUUUUCUAUCUCAUGUCUAGUCUCACCCCUUGACCGGAACCCUAACCCUAAUUUACUUCUUUCUUGGUCGGCUGUCAUCACUACCCGAAGGUCUCCAACAACGACUCCCCGGCCUUCAGCGUCUGAGAAUUGAGACAAUAUGCGAAAGGAGGCCGGUAUUGGGACCUGAUCUCACGCAUCCCCGAUAUCGGAACACUAUCUGAGAUUAGGAGCAACUUCAGCACAUUCCCUCCUUCCUUUUCUUGCUUUUGAAGACCAUCU